rnacentral:rRNA from 1 species
UACGUAGGGUCCGAGCGUUGUCCGGAAUUACUGGGCGUAAAGAGCUCGUAGGUGGUUUGUCGCGUUGUUCGUGAAAACUCACAGCUUAACUGUGGGCGUGCGGGCGAUACGGGCAGACUUGAGUACUGCAGGGGAGACUGGAAUUCCUGGUGUAGCGGUGGAAUGCGCAGAUAUCAGGAGGAACACCGGUGGCGAAGGCGGGGUCUCUGGGCAGUAACUGACGCUGGAGGAGCGAAAGCCGUGGGGAGCGA